AGUGAACGCUGGCGGUAGGCCUAACACAUGCAAGUCGAACGGCAGCACAGUAAGAGCUUGCUCUUACGGGUGGCGAGUGGCGGACGGGUGAGGAAUACAUCGGAAUCUACUUUUUCGUGGGGGAUAACGUAGGGAAACUUACGCUAAUACCGCAUACGACCUACGGGUGAAAGCAGGGGAUCUUCGGACCUUGCGCGAUUGAAUGAGCCGAUGUCGGAUUAGCUAGUUGGCGGGGUAAAGGCCCACCAAGGCGACGAUCCGUAGCUGGUCUGAGAGGAUGAUCAGCCACACUGGAACUGAGACACGGUCCAGACUCCUAUGGGAGGCAGCAGUGGGGAAUAUUGGACAAUGGGCGCAAGCCUGAUCCGGCCAUACCGCGUGGGUGAAGAAGGCCUUCGGGUUGUAAAGCCCUUUUGUUGGGAAAGAAAAGCAGCAGGUUAAUACCCCGCUGUUCUGACGGUACCCAAAGAAUAAGCACCGGCUAACUUCGUG
rnacentral:rRNA from 1 species